GUGGAUUAGAUACCCUGGUAGUCCACGCCGUAAACGAUGUCAACUAGCCGUUGGUCUUAUUCGUAAGAUUAGUGGCGCAGCUAACGCGAUAAGUUGACCGCCUGGGGAGUACGGCCGCAAGGUUAAAACUCAAAUGAAUUGACGGGGGCCCGCACAAGCGGUGGAGCAUGUGGUUUAAUUCGAUGCAACGCGAAGAACCUUACCUACCCUUGACAUCCAGAGAAUCUGUGAGAGAUCGUAGAGUGCCUUCGGGAACUCUGAGACAGGUGCUGCACGGCCGUCGCCAGCU
rnacentral:rRNA from 1 species